CUGACCUGCUGGUUUCCCAUGGUGCAGCUCCACGCACUCUGACCUGCUGGUUUCCCAUGGUGCACCUCCACGCACUCUGACCUGCUGGUUUCCCAUGGUGCACCUCCACGCACUCUGACCUACUGGUUUCCCAUGAUGCACCUCCAUGCACUCUGACCUGCUGAUUUCCCACGGUGUGGAUUCCCAUUGUUUCCCAUUGUUCUUGGUGAGGAUUCCAGGUUGGCCCAUCUUCCCCCAUACUCUUGGGGUUCGUACGAAUUAUUCUUUUGGAUGGAACGCACAACAAAUACAACUGAUAACUGACCACUGAACAAUGAAGGAAUUGUGGGGAAAACCAAGCUGGUCCUAAGUAUCUGAGCUUCUGCAUCCGUGGAUUCAACCAGCUGCUUCCCUGAUGAAUGCACUGUAAUAUCCACGUGUGAGUGGACCCACGCGAUUCUGU
rnacentral:lncRNA from 1 species